GGUUAAAUCUGAUCAUGUGCCUUGCACAUGAGUGUAUUCUUGUCAUUUCAUCUUCUUAGAGACUAUUUUUUAAUAAACUUAUUUUAAGGGACUAUAUUGUAAAUAAUGAAAAGUUUAUGAUAAAAACAAAAUAGUCUUCUGCAUUUUAAUCUCUCUCUCUCUCUUCUCUUCUCUCUCUCUUCUCUCUUCUGAAUGGUGGAUGGAGGAGACGGUAAGGUGGAUGGUUACCGGAAUCGAUUUUUGGUGGUGGGUUUUAGGGCGACGGUGAUGGGUGUGGUGGUUGAUAUGCAGUGGUGAUUUGGGUUUAGUAGUAGUGGUUGGUGCGGUGGUGAUUUGGGGGUGGUGUUGGUGGUUGAGAGAGAAAGAGAGUGGUAGAGAGAGGGGGUGGUGGAAGGGGGUGGUGGUGGGUUGAUAGUGGUGGUGGGUGAAGUCUUUAGUGAGAGAGACAGUUGAACCAAGUUGAUGGUGAUUUGGGUGAUGCUUCUUCAUCACAGAUCUAGAGAUUUGGAUCACUGGAAAACAUCGGUGAAGAUCCUUGUAAUAUAUUUCAUGUAAUUAUGCUUGAGUUGAUGACAGACAGGCACAC
rnacentral:lncRNA from 1 species